rnacentral:rRNA from 1 species
CCUACGGGUGGCAGCAGUGAGGAAUAUUGGUCAAUGGACGAGAGUCUGAACCAGCCAAGUAGCGUGAAGGAUGACUGCCCUAUGGGUUGUAAACUUCUUUUAUAAAGGAAUAAAACGAGGCACGUGUGCCUUUUUGCAUGUACUUUAUGAAUAAGGAUCGGCUAACUCCGUGCCAGCAGCCGCGGUAAUACGGAGGAUCCGAGCGUUAUCCGGAUUUAUUGGGUUUAAAGGGAGCGUAGAUGGGUUGUUAAGUCAGUUGUGAAAGUUUGCGGCUCAACCGUAAAAUUGCAAUUGAUACUGGCAGUCGUGAGUACAGUUGAGGUAGGCGGAAUUCGUGGUGUAGCGGUGAAAUGCUUAGAUAUCACGAAGAACCCCGAUUGCGAAGGCAGCUUACUAAACUGUGACUGACAUUGAUGCUCGAAAGUGUGGGUAUCAAACAGGAUUAGAUACCCGAGUAGUA